CUCCCUUGACUUCAAAAGUACCAGGAAUUCCAAUCCAAGUUACAUGCUAGCAACUGAAUCCUUCAAAAUACUGUUUGUGUAUUUUCCAAUUUCGUGUUGCGUGAACUGAGAAACGGAGUACCUCACACACAAAGCAACACGCAGCAAACCAUUCUUUACAUAGCAGUUCUCAGAGGAAGACAACAAACGAUCUAUGCCAGUGAGAUGAGUGUAUGCUGGAGUGCAAAUUCAAGAGAUUAGGCAGCUGGAGUGGGAAGGGAACAAAACAGAAAAAACCUGCCUCUGCAGAAACUGCAUUACCGGGACUCCCAACAGAUUCUGGACAAACACUACAGAAAUGACAGCAGGAGAAGAUGACUUAUUUUGAUUGCCUCAAAGUUAAGAGAAAGUCUGUGCUGCUAAAGAAGUAUUGAAAUAAAAGGCAAAAGCUUCAUUCACCAUGAGGUCCUGUUAGCCAAGUGCAAAAGGAGGAGAAAGAAAUGAUGCAUAUUACAGCAGCAGAACUUACUACAUUCUGUCAGCACCUUGUCUGAAGAGUUGUUCUCGUGAAGGGAAGAUUUCUAUGGUACAGCCUGGAGCAGUGGAUAUUUCCAGCACCUGUAGUGUGCCACUGCAGCCACUGCAGCUAUUCCUCUCAUGUUCAUAAGGAUACAAACACCUGCACUGCAACCAGCCCAUGUCUUGCUUAUUUCCAUCACCAAAAAAAAUAAAAAUAAAAAUAAAAAUAAAAAUCAGGAAAGUUAGGAGCAAAAAAAAACUUUCCAGUGCUGCUUUUUUGAGGACUCAGGAACAGAAAAUUUGACUUACGUUUUUAACUGCUUUAAUGACAAUCAAACUCUGAGUGAGCUCAUUUUUGUUUCCCAUCUGUUCCAGGGGUUCAUAAUAAUGCCCGUGAGUACAAGAACAGAAUGCUUAGAAGUGUAAAUAUGCAGCAAUUGGGAUUAAAUCAAUACAGUCAUUUUAGGUUUUCAUUUAAACAAAAAUUGCUUCAAGAUGACUAUGACCAAGAUUUGACAUAAUCUUUCUAUGGCCCGUUCCAGAAAAAGCACAUCAUUUGUAUAUCAAAUAUCACAGUAUCUGACAUGCUGAGGUAUGUUAGACACAGGUCUCCCCCAUUCAGGUAUCUUACAGUCAGAAAAGGCACAACACAGGAAUUCAAGUGUUGCCAACAUCUUUUAACUAUACAGUUCCUAGUGGAAGUAAGAACUGACCACAUUAAUUGCCUACUAAGAGCAGGUUUCCUUUUCUUUCACAUCUUCUGCUUGUCCCCCCAAGAAGUAACCUGAAGUUAAACACCACAGCAGCUGUUAGAUAACAAACUUCUUAACUCUGUUUAUGUUUCACAGUAAAACAGUACUACAAUUAAUUCAGUAUGUCAGUACUCCCUGCCUGUUUCCAAGCAUGCCAUCAUCUUUCUGAGGCGAGUGAAGAGAAUGAGCACAACACUGACACAGCUAAGUUCU